AGCGCGUCCACCCGGAGACCCUCUGCGGAGCAUCAAAUGACCUGGGAGCCGGCGUGCCGCCUGAACGACGAUGAGGAUGGAGACUGGAGCGAAGAGGAAGGCAGUGACGGCGACUCGGGGUCUGCAGAGGACUCUACAGACACCGAAGAACGUCCCCUCUGCCCGACCCCCUGGGGUUUUACCUGCACAGGUGAGCAUCCGAUCCAGAUCCCCAGAACCAACGUCCCCCGCUGGGAGAUACCAUCUGGAGGGG